UUUAAAAAAUCAGCAUAUUAAAAUGGAAUGAUUAUACAUAAGUUACGGAUUUUUAUUCAAAAUUUACGGUGGAGAUAUUACGAUUUGGUAGUUAAGACAAAUUUUAAUGUCUCAAAAAAUUCAUAAGAAAACAUUUUUAAUAGUUAAAAUAAUGAAAAUCUAGAGCUUACAAGUCUGAACUCUUGUAUAAGUUAUAUUUUUAAAUCUAAUAAAAUAUAUAUAUUCUUUAUAGAGAAAUUAUAACACAUGGCUGGAUAAAUUUUGGAUGGAUGUUACAAAAACCAAUAAUCAUAUGAUGAUCGUGAAGAGUAAAUAAAUCACCAAUAAUCAACAGACGAUCCAAAAUUAAUGUCAAGACACCAAAUGAAAGCCUCUGACAAAAACUAUCAAGACAUGGUAAUAAGUCUUGAAAUACUUGUCUGUAAGGUCAUAAAUCGGUCAAAUUGCACCAAUUGAAAGAUGAAAUUUGCCGAGUCUAACUACCGAUUUAAGGCGCUUAUCAGUGUGCCACAUACCAGUCUGGAACCCGUCCCAGAACCUAGACAUUCGGUUAGAAUAUUAAUUGUUUUCCUAUAACCUCUGGAAUUGAAAACCUUGCCCAUCAGAUUCUCCUUGAUUCAAGUGGUCAAAUAAUGAACGGUCAACGCUGUUGAGUUUCUGGAACUGUAUAGUUUCCACUGUAAUUCUGAAUCAAACAUGAAAUCAUCAAUGAUUUGCUAAAUCUCUUUGACGGUGGAACAUUUUGAAAGUAAAAAAGUAGAAGCUUACAAAAUCAUUUAAAACAAGCUAUAAUGCGACCAUAAAUUUUCAAAACUAAAACCAAUAAAGUGUAAUUAUUAAAAUACUAGAAAUCACAUUUAUUUAUUGGCAAAAUCCAAAAAAGGUGAAUAGUGAUAAACAAAAGUUCAGCAAUUUUAAUCCUAAUCCGCAAAGGAGGCUGUAGAAAAAGUCUGGGGGGGGGGGAGGCGCUGAAACGAGUAUAAAUAUUGAACAUUUUGAUGGAAAAUACAUAUUUUGGGCUUCAAAUUGAAUUGAUUCACUUGAUGAAAACAUAACGUCGUUUUUAUUCGUCUGCAAGGUGGUCCUUCUAUUUUACAAUAUUUACAAAAAUCACUUUAAACUUUUCAAACUGAUCAUAAAUCUCCGUGAACUGUACAUAUUCAAACUUUUAAUUUCAUCAUAAUAACACAAUCAUUUUUACUAUGUGUACAUACAUUUGGGCAUUGCACAGUCUCAUUACAGUUUUUAACAUUUCACAAUACAAAAAAAUAAGUAACUGUAGUUCCACAUAGUUUCGUAAAAGUAUCUAAGAGUUAGGAGUUUCUUUUGUGCUUAUUAAUAUCACAAACUGUAACUUAAAACAUUGUUUUUUCAUAACAUUUGUGAAAACCUAUAUAAAUAGGAAGGCAUCAAACUUUUUAAACAUCACAACAAAAUAUCAAAACAAAUAGAUUUAAAAAUCGGUAAUUCUUAACUACUACUAAAUUUCCAAAAAGAUGAAAUCUGGUGUUUUAUUUGCAACUCUUCUAGUAAUUUUUGUGUCAUGUGCCUCAAAUAUUUUUGCAAAAUCCUCUUGUGAAGAUAAAACAGAUAUUUCAAGUCAAGCACCUAGCCCUCAACUUGAUAUCCAAAUAAAAAACCAAGUGCUUCAUGAUAAAAAAAUUAAACCUCAUGCUGCCAAUAAUCCAAUUGGAUUUUGUCAAGAAUGUGCACAUCAUUGUAUUAGAAAGAAGAGGUUUAUGCUAGAAUGCCGAAACUUUGCUUGUUACUGUGAUCAUAGCAGAUAUAAUCAGAGAAUAUGUAAAGGGUGGCAAAGAUUAUGGUGCAUUAAUUACUAAGAUGUAUUUUGGAAUUCCAAUAUAAAAUAAAGAAACCAUUAUAUUAUUUACUGUUCAAUUUUAGUGUUUUUACUUCACGUAUUUGUUACGUUAACUAGCUUGUAGGUUAUGUAUGGGUGCAUAUAUAUUUUUAAAAAAAUCAGCAUAUUAGAAUGGAAUGAUUAUACAUAAGUUACGGAUUUUUAUUCAAAAUUUACGGUGGAGAUAUUACGAUUUGGUAGUUAAGACAAAUUUUAAUGUCUCAAAAAAUUCAUAAGAAAACAUUUUUAAUAGUUAAAAUAAUGAAAAUCUAGAGCUUACAAGUCUGAACUCUUGUAUAAGUUAUAUUUUUAAAUCUAAUAAAAUAUAUAUAUUCUUUAUAGAGAAAUUAUAACACAUGGCUGGAUAAAUUUUGGAUGGAUGUUACAAAAACCAAUAAUCAUAUGAUGAUCGUGAAGAGUAAAUAAAUCACCAAUAAUCAACAGACGAUCCAAAAUUAAUGUCAAGACACCAAAUGAAAGCCUCUGACAAAAACUAUCAAGACAUGGUAAUAAGUCUUGAAAUACUUGUCUGUAAGGUCAUAAAUCGGUCAAAUUGCACCAAUUGAAAGAUGAAAUUUGCCGAGUCUAACUACCGAUUUAAGGCGCUUAUCAGUGUGCCACAUACCAGUCUGGAACCCGUCCCAGAACCUAGACAUUCGGUUAGAAUAUUAAUUGUUUUCCUAUAACCUCUGGAAUUGAAAACCUUGCCCAUCAGAUUCUCCUUGAUUCAAGUGGUCAAAUAAUGAACGGUCAACGCUGUUGAGUUUCUGGAACUGUAUAGUUUCCACUGUAAUUCUGAAUCAAACAUGAAAUCAUCAAUGAUUUGCUAAAUCUCUUUGACGGUGGAACAUUUUGAAAGUAAAAAAGUAGAAGCUUACAAAAUCAUUUAAAACAAGCUAUAAUGCGACCAUAAAUUUUCAAAACUAAAACCAAUAAAGUGUAAUUAUUAAAAUACUAGAAAUCACAUUUAUUUAUUGGCAAAAUCCAAAAAAGGUGAAUAGUGAUAAACAAAAGUUCAGCAAUUUUAAUCCUAAUCCGCAAAGGAGGCUGUAGAAAAAGUCUGGGGGGGGGGGGGGGAGGCGCUGAAACGAGUAUAAAUAUUGAACAUUUUGAUGGAAAAUACAUAUUUUGGGCUUCAAAUUGAAUUGAUUCACUUGAUGAAAACAUAACGUCGUUUUUAUUCGUCUGCAAGGUGGUCCUUCUAUUUUACAAUAUUUACAAAAAUCACUUUAAACUUUUCAAACUGAUCAUAAAUCUCCGUGAACUGUACAUAUUCAAACUUUUAAUUUCAUCAUAAUAACACAAUCAUUUUUACUAUGUGUACAUACAUUUGGGCAUUGCACAGUCUCAUUACAGUUUUUAACAUUUCACAAUACAAAAAAAUAAGUAACUGUAGUUCCACAUAGUUUCGUAAAAGUAUCUAAGAGUUAGGAGUUUCUUUUGUGCUUAUUAAUAUCACAAACUGUAACUUAAAACAUUGUUUUUUCAUAACAUUUGUGAAAACCUAUAUAAAUAGGAAGGCAUCAAACUUUUUAAACAUCACAACAAAAUAUCAAAACAAAUAGAUUUAAAAAUCGGUAAUUCUUAACUACUACUAAAUUUCCAAAAAGAUGAAAUCUGGUGUUUUAUUUGCAACUCUUCUAGUAAUUUUUGUGUCAUGUAAGUUGAUUUUCAGUGAUAAAUAUAAUAUCAUACUUUUUUAAUAUCUUUAAUAUUUUAAAUGAAUAUCUAAUAGCUCUAUAUAUGACUGAAAAUUUUGUAGGUGCCUCAAAUAUUUUUGCAAAAUCCUCUUGUGAAGAUAAAACAGAUAUUUCAAGUCAAGCACCUAGCCCUCAACUUGAUAUCCAAAUAAAAAACCAAGUGCUUCAUGAUAAAAAAAUUAAACCUCAUGCUGCCAAUAAUCCAAUUGGAUUUUGUCAAGAAUGUGCACAUCAUUGUAUUAGAAAGAAGAGGUUUAUGCUAGAAUGCCGAAACUUUGCUUGUUACUGUGAUCAUAGCAGAUAUAAUCAGAGAAUAUGUAAAGGGUGGCAAAGAUUAUGGUGCAUUAAUUACUAAGAUGUAUUUUGGAAUUCCAAUAUAAAAUAAAGAAACCAUUAUAUUAUUUACUGUUCAAUUUUAGUGUUUUUACUUCACGUAUUUGUUACGUUAACUAGCUUGUAGGUUAUGUAUGGGUGCAUAUAUAUUUUAAAAAAAAUCAGCAUAUUAAAAUGGAAUGAUUAUACAUAAGUUACAGAUUUUUAUUCAAAAUUUACGGUGGAGAUAUUACGAUUUGGUAGUUAAGACAAAUUUUAAUGUCUCAAAAAAUUCAUAAGAAAACAUUUUUAAUAGUUAAAAUAAUGAAAAUCUAGAGCUUACAAGUCUGAACUCUUGUAUAAGUUAUAUUUUUAAAUCUAAUAAAAUAUAUAUAUUCUUUAUAGAGAAAUUAUAACACAUGGCUGGAUAAAUUUUGGAUGGAUGUUACAAAAACCAAUAAUCAUAUGAUGAUCGUGAAGAGUAAAUAAAUCACCAAUAAUCAACAGACGAUCCAAAAUUAAUGUCAAGACACCAAAUGAAAGCCUCUGACAAAAACUAUCAAGACAUGGUAAUAAGUCUUGAAAUACUUGUCUGUAAGGUCAUAAAUCGGUCAAAUUGCACCAAUUGAAAGAUGAAAUUUGCCGAGUCUAACUACCGAUUUAAGGCGCUUAUCAGUGUGCCACAUACCAGUCUGGAACCCGUCCCAGAACCUAGACAUUCGGUUAGAAUAUUAAUUGUUUUCCUAUAACCUCUGGAAUUGAAAACCUUGCCCAUCAGAUUCUCCUUGAUUCAAGUGGUCAAAUAAUGAACGGUCAACGCUGUUGAGUUUCUGGAACUGUAUAGUUUCCACUGUAAUUCUGAAUCAAACAUGAAAUCAUCAAUGAUUUGCUAAAUCUCUUUGACGGUGGAACAUUUUGAAAGUAAAAAAGUAGAAGCUUACAAAAUCAUUUAAAACAAGCUAUAAUGCGACCAUAAAUUUUCAAAACUAAAACCAAUAAAGUGUAAUUAUUAAAAUACUAGAAAUCACAUUUAUUUAUUGGCAAAAUCCAAAAAAGGUGAAUAGUGAUAAACAAAAGUUCAGCAAUUUUAAUCCUAAUCCGCAAAGGAGGCUGUAGAAAAAGUCUGGGGGGGGGGGGGAGGCGCUGAAACGAGUAUAAAUAUUGAACAUUUUGAUGGAAAAUACAUAUUUUGGGCUUCAAAUUGAAUUGAUUCACUUGAUGAAAACAUAACGUCGUUUUUAUUCGUCUGCAAGGUGGUCCUUCUAUUUUACAAUAUUUACAAAAAUCACUUUAAACUUUUCAAACUGAUCAUAAAUCUCCGUGAACUGUACAUAUUCAAACUUUUAAUUUCAUCAUAAUAACACAAUCAUUUUUACUAUGUGUACAUACAUUUGGGCAUUGCACAGUCUCAUUACAGUUUUUAACAUUUCACAAUACAAAAAAAUAAGUAACUGUAGUUCCACAUAGUUUCGUAAAAGUAUCUAAGAGUUAGGAGUUUCUUUUGUGCUUAUUAAUAUCACAAACUGUAACUUAAAACAUUGUUUUUUCAUAACAUUUGUGAAAACCUAUAUAAAUAGGAAGGCAUCAAACUUUUUAAACAUCACAACAAAAUAUCAAAACAAAUAGAUUUAAAAAUCGGUAAUUCUUAACUACUACUAAAUUUCCAAAAAGAUGAAAUCUGGUGUUUUAUUUGCAACUCUUCUAGUAAUUUUUGUGUCAUGUGCCUCAAAUAUUUUUGCAAAAUCCUCUUGUGAAGAUAAAACAGAUAUUUCAAGUCAAGCACCUAGCCCUCAACUUGAUAUCCAAAUAAAAAACCAAGUGCUUCAUGAUAAAAAAAUUAAACCUCAUGCUGCCAAUAAUCCAAUUGGAUUUUGUCAAGAAUGUGCACAUCAUUGUAUUAGAAAGAAGAGGUUUAUGCUAGAAUGCCGAAACUUUGCUUGUUACUGUGAUCAUAGCAGAUAUAAUCAGAGAAUAUGUAAAGGGUGGCAAAGAUUAUGGUGCAUUAAUUACUAAGAUGUAUUUUGGAAUUCCAAUAUAAAAUAAAGAAACCAUUAUAUUAUUUACUGUUCAAUUUUAGUGUUUUUACUUCACGUAUUUGUUACGUUAACUAGCUUGUAGGUUAUGUAUGGGUGCAUAUAUAUUUUAAAAAAAAAAUCAGCAUAUUAAAAUGGAAUGAUUAUACAUAAGUUACGGAUUUUUAUUCAAAAUUUACGGUGGAGAUAUUACGAUUUGGUAGUUAAGACAAAUUUUAAUGUCUCAAAAAAUUCAUAAGAAAACAUUUUUAAUAGUUAAAAUAAUGAAAAUCUAGAGCUUACAAGUCUGAACUCUUGUAUAAGUUAUAUUUUUAAAUCUAAUAAAAUAUAUAUAUUCUUUAUAGAGAAAUUAUAACACAUGGCUGGAUAAAUUUUGGAUGGAUGUUACAAAAACCAAUAAUCAUAUGAUGAUCGUGAAGAGUAAAUAAAUCACCAAUAAUCAACAGACGAUCCAAAAUUAAUGUCAAGACACCAAAUGAAAGCCUCUGACAAAAACUAUCAAGACAUGGUAAUAAGUCUUGAAAUACUUGUCUGUAAGGUCAUAAAUCGGUCAAAUUGCACCAAUUGAAAGAUGAAAUUUGCCGAGUCUAACUACCGAUUUAAGGCGCUUAUCAGUGUGCCACAUACCAGUCUGGAACCCGUCCCAGAACCUAGACAUUCGGUUAGAAUAUUAAUUGUUUUCCUAUAACCUCUGGAAUUGAAAACCUUGCCCAUCAGAUUCUCCUUGAUUCAAGUGGUCAAAUAAUGAACGGUCAACGCUGUUGAGUUUCUGGAACUGUAUAGUUUCCACUGUAAUUCUGAAUCAAACAUGAAAUCAUCAAUGAUUUGCUAAAUCUCUUUGACGGUGGAACAUUUUGAAAGUAAAAAAGUAGAAGCUUACAAAAUCAUUUAAAACAAGCUAUAAUGCGACCAUAAAUUUUCAAAACUAAAACCAAUAAAGUGUAAUUAUUAAAAUACUAGAAAUCACAUUUAUUUAUUGGCAAAAUCCAAAAAAGGUGAAUAGUGAUAAACAAAAGUUCAGCAAUUUUAAUCCUAAUCCGCAAAGGAGGCUGUAGAAAAAGUCUAGGGGGGGGGGGGGGAGGCGCUGAAACGAGUAUAAAUAUUGAACAUUUUGAUGGAAAAUACAUAUUUUGGGCUUCAAAUUGAAUUGAUUCACUUGAUGAAAACAUAACGUCGUUUUUAUUCGUCUGCAAGGUGGUCCUUCUAUUUUACAAUAUUUACAAAAAUCACUUUAAACUUUUCAAACUGAUCAUAAAUCUCCGUGAACUGUACAUAUUCAAACUUUUAAUUUCAUCAUAAUAACACAAUCAUUUUUACUAUGUGUACAUACAUUUGGGCAUUGCACAGUCUCAUUACAGUUUUUAACAUUUCACAAUACAAAAAAAUAAGUAACUGUAGUUCCACAUAGUUUCGUAAAAGUAUCUAAGAGUUAGGAGUUUCUUUUGUGCUUAUUAAUAUCACAAACUGUAACUUAAAACAUUGUUUUUUCAUAACAUUUGUGAAAACCUAUAUAAAUAGGAAGGCAUCAAACUUUUUAAACAUCACAACAAAAUAUCAAAACAAAUAGAUUUAAAAAUCGGUAAUUCUUAACUACUACUAAAUUUCCAAAAAGAUGAAAUCUGGUGUUUUAUUUGCAACUCUUCUAGUAAUUUUUGUGUCAUGUAAGUUGAUUUUCAGUGAUAAAUAUAAUAUCAUACUUUUUAAUAUCUUUAAUAUUUUAAAUGAAUAUCUAAUAGCUCUAUACAUGACUGAAAAUUUUGUAGGUACCUCAAAUAUUUUUGCAAAAUCCUCUUGUGAAGAUAAAACAGAUAUUUCAAGUCAAGCACCUAGCCCUCAACUUGAUAUCCAAAUAAAAAAACAAGUGCUUCAUGAUAAAAAAAAUUAAACCUCAUGCUGCCAAUAAUCCAAUUGGAUUUUGUCAAGAAUGUGCACAUCAUUGUAUUAGAAAGAAGAGGUUUAUGCUAGAAUGCCGAAACUUUGCUUGUUACUGUGAUCAUAGCAGAUAUAAUCAGAGAAUAUGUAAAGGGUGGCAAAGAUUAUGGUGCAUUAAUUACUAAGAUGUAUUUUGGAAUUCCAAUAUAAAAUAAAGAAACCAUUAUAUUAUUUACUGUUCAAUUUUAGUGUUUUUACUUCACGUAUUUGUUACGUUAACUAGCUUGUAGGUUAUGUAUGGGUGCAUAUAUAUUUU